UGGGGAAUAUUGGACAAUGGGCGAAAGCCUGAUCCAGCAAUGCCGCGUGAGUGAUGAAGGCCUUAGGGUUGUAAAGCUCUUUUACCCGGGAUGAUAAUGACCGUACCGGGAGAAUAAGCUCCGGCUAACUCCGUGCCAGCAGCCGCGGUAAUACGGAGGGAGCUAGCGUUGUUCGGAAUUACUGGGCGUAAAGCGCACGUAGGCGGCUUUGUAAGUCAGAGGUGAAAGCCUGGAGCUCAACUCCAGAACUGCCUUUGAGACUGCAUCGCUUGAAUCCAGGAGAGGUGAGUGGAAUUCCGAGUGUAGAGGUGAAAUUCGUAGAUAUUCGGAAGAACACCAGUGGCGAAGGCGGCUCACUGGACUGGUAUUGACGCUGAAGUGCGAAAGCGUGGGGAGCAAACAGG
rnacentral:rRNA from 1 species